rnacentral:lncRNA from 13 species
AGUCAGACUCUACACUUCCCUACUGAAACACGUUUUGUUCAGGUCUGUCGUUAGAGUCCUGGGCUUGCUUGAUGUAUCUAUAAUGGUAUACAGUCAGACUCUACACUUCCCUACUGAAACACGUUUUGUUCAGGUCUGUCGUUAGAGUCCUGGGCUUGCUUGAUGUAUCUAUAAUGGUAUACAGUCAGACUCUACACUUCCCUACGGUAGUAGGUGCCAGGUGCACCGGUUUGAGUGUGCCAAGAACUACAACGCUGCUGGGUUUUUCACACUCAACAGUUUCCCGUGUGUAUCAAGAAUGGUCCACCACCCAAAGGACAUCCAGCAAACUUGACAACUGUGGAAAGCAUUGGAGUCAACAUGGGCCAGCAUCCCUGUGGAACGCUUUCAACACCUUGUAGAGUCCAUGCCCUGACGAAUUGAGGCUGUUCUGAGGGCAAAAGGGGGCGCAACUCAAUAUUAGGGAGGUGUUCCUAAUGUUUUGUACACUCAGUGUAUGUCAAUGUUCUGAAGUUCUUGUAAAAUAUCUGUUAAAUAUUGACUGUCUUCCUCUUUUUCUCUUCAUCCCUCUCAGAUGCAACUGUUCUGGUGGAUCACCCACAUUUUUCUAUCCCUACCUUCUCUCCUCUCUCUUGUCCAAUCCCUCACGUGCGACAAUAAAACACAGUAUGCUUGGCCACUGCAUGACAGCCAAUGGUGCUGCAACAAGUGUCCACCAGGUCAGCAUCUGGUGGGACGCUGCACCGGUCAGAACAGCCCUACCCAGUGUGCUGACUGCGCCAGCGGCUACUACUCAGACAGCUACAACUUCAACAUAGGCUGCAAAUCCUGCGAUGGCUGCAGCAUGAGUGAGCUGCAGUAUGUAUCUAACUGUUCCACCAAGCAGAAUGAUGUGUGCAGCUGUAAACCAGGCUACCGCUGCAGAGGAAGUGGCACCUGUCUGGACUGUGAGGAGAUCCCCAGCCCGAACACACCCAAACUCAUACCGACACCUCCCAUCAUGCCAGCUACAGUGUCAAACCACUCGGUGCCUGGUAUCCCUAAUCAUAGACCUAAACCUGUCACCAAACCUGGUACUGGGCCCAGAACAAAUCCAAACCAAGAUGAUAGCAAGUGGCUCCCGGUGUGUGUGUCUGCAGUGUGUGUGUGUCUACUGCUCACCUGCCUUGUUGCCAUCUCAAAGCUCAAACCUUUUCUGCGAUGGAUUGGUUCACCAAACAGCUUCUGGUCUCCUAAAAAGACUACUCCAGCGAAUCAGAGCACAGCGGAAGAGGAAGUGCCCAUGCCGGUCCAGGAAGUGUGUGGAAAGCCAGAGCUGCUACUGGACGUAUGAUGGAGGAAGUGGGUGUCGAAGGAGAGGAUGAGAACUCCCAAGCGAGCUGGGAGACCCGGGAGACAAACAGACUACCUCACAUUCCCAUUGAAGUGAAACUAACCUGAAGGCUAGACAGGCUGCUGUAUUGGUUUAAUGCAGUGGCUUCUGUAUCUAGGACUUUCAGAAAGGACAAGAAAAUAGGACAAAAAGACACUUUGAAGUAUGAAGAUACAGGCUAAAGAUGAGAGAGGGAGUGGGAGUCUGUGACCGAGAAAGAGCAGAAUGAGAGUGAGAAACGAAGAGUGAACAAGAGACACAGAGAGACAGACACAGACGCACACACACACACACAAACAUUUGUGUGCUGAAUACAUGUACUGUACAUGUUUAUGUUGAAGAUGUUUUACACCUUCAUUAUGAUUUUAGCUGUAUCUAUGCUUUAUGCCAGUGUUUACUCUUACAUAGUAGUGGCUGUUUAAAACAUACAGUGCUGUAUUUUAAAUAAAGAACAGAAUCACAAAUGUUACAGGCCUACUGUAAUGUCAGACAAUCGCCCCAUCACCUGUAUUCAUUGAACAAUUAUAUUUCAUAUUUUGGUUUUAAUUUGUGCAAAAACAGUUCAAAGUGCCACAUGAACACAGAAAAAAACAGUUUGCAGCAGUUGAGACUGCGAGUAAGGGCUCCAUGUAUCUCAGAAGAUCAGCUUUACAGCCUGAUAGAAAUGUAAAGGCAAUGUUCUCACGUCAGUGGAGACUGCAUUCACGUUAAACACUGCAUAUGUCGGCUCAAUCAAAAAUGACCUUUACAUUUCUAUCAAGCAAUCUGUAACGCUUCAGUGAUACAGACUGAAUAGAGCCAUAGGUAGAUGUGGUCCUUUACCACUGAUCCAAGGUCAGACCAGUCUUAAUCCUCCUUAUGAUUAACAUUAGGAUGUAUGGUUGGCUAAACUGAUCCUAGAAGGGAAGCUUUCACUUGGUGCGUCCUCUGUCCUCAAUCCCCCUCCCCUCAAUGCACCUCCUCUUUGGAAACGUGACUGUCCUUCCCUUGUUCCUGUGAAGGGAAGAAUACACAGUCCAUCUCCCCAUCCCUUUCCUCCUGGGAUAGAUGGAUGUUAGGGGAGGGUGUGGGGUGGGUCGGACAUCCUUCCUCAUCCCUCUCUUUCUGCCCUCUCUCUUCCAUCCCUCCACCCAUACCAGUGAACUGGUUGAGUAAACUGAAGAUGACUGUUCCAGCAUUGUGGACAUGGACCAGGCCUGAGAGAGACACAGACAGAGAGAAAGUGAUAUUAGAUUCUAUAUUCAUCAUCAGCCUUAUUCACUAUGGAUCUUGAAACUGAUCAACUUCCCAUGCUAAUCUCCCAUGGACUUCAAAACAUCAUCUAUGCAAAACUCCAAGUUAAACGACUGACGUGCCUCUAUAGGAAAAACCACAAGAGGAACUCCACCAUAUUUAGAUUCCUUUUUAAAUCAAGAUCUUGGGGUCAAAAUAAUUAUUUGUAUGUAUCCAUAGUACCUAUAUUUGCUGCUGUAAUAGGUGGUGGAUCCACUGUCUGGUGCUUAAUACUGGGCUGUGUCUCUCUGGCAUUGUGCUGAUGAGGUGGCUCUUUGGUCUUGUUAGGCGACGUUUCUCUUACUCCCUUCAUAAGAGCACAGAAAUUCACCAGAAAUCCAGAGUUAUUGGAAUACACAAUUGUCAACAAUGCCUAUAUAGGGUUUCGGUCAGGAACACAUGAAUGACAAUGUAAACAUUACACACACAAUGUAGUAAGUUACCGUAGGUUAUUACACAUACCUUGUUACAGAACUUUAGAGCUGGAAAAUAACAGACACAAAUCUAUUAGUGACCCCAGCAAACUGAUCGUAAGCCACUCAUGGGUAUUUCAUCGAUGAAUCAUCUAUGAUUGAAAGGGCAAUGUUUUUUCAUCUUACUCUGCAUUUUAAUGCUUUCUGGGUACAUGUAGACACUAGAAACUGGUAAGUAGGUCUACACAGAGAGAGUGUUGCAAUCUUUUAAUUCAAUUACAUUCACAAGAAGAUACAGUUGGCUCCCAGUGUAGACCUAUCCUGAGAUUUAACAUCACAGUCUAAUCCUUCCUCAUCUCAUUAUAGUGUCCAGAGAGAGAGUCUGCUCUAACACAAUGAUCUAACUACAGUUGAGACUGAACAGAGGAACACUGCCUUACCUUGUUUGAAACAGGCUUCAUUUCCUGGGCGACGGAUACAUAACAGAAUGAUAACGGCUAGGAUUCCAAUGACCACCAUAGGACACAAAAUGGCUGCCAAGUGUUUGCUGGUGUCAGCUGGUGGGGAAAGGAGAUGGAGAAACUACUGUAUCUGUAGCUUCUCACAGUUUCAAUAUAUUCUGACUGUAAUGAAAAUAGCUGAUGGACACACACACACACACACACCUGUGGUGUGAUGAGUGGCGUUACCUGCUUGUGAGACUGGUGAUCGUGGAGUGUCACAGCUGGGUGAGACAGAGGUAAAGGACUCAUCAUGUAACAUAUCCAUACACAUUCACAGCCUGUCAACACUGAAGUGGGGCCAGUGAACUGAGAACUGUAUUUAAUAUCCCAAAUAUCCAUUACCACUAAGAUAUCUGACAAAUCUUUGAUACCAGAUCUUCUGGUUGUAUGAAGGUUAUAUACCAUAAAAUAACAACUUUGCCAGAAGUGGCCCUCCUGGCAGGGGAAGUCGUCAACCAGAGCCUGUUUAUCAGUCUGGUUCCAGUAUGUUUAAGUAGGGAGGAUAAAAAAAGAUAAAGGCUCACUUAGGAGGUUGACAGCGUCCAGCGGAAGAGGAAGUCCUGCUGUGUUCAGAGGAAGUUCCUGUCUGGUUGAUUCUGAUGCCCACUACUGUAAUCAGAGCAGAGUGCACACAGGCAGGAAAACAUCAACAUCUAUCCACAGUCAAACACACUGAUUCAAUACCCAGAACCUGGCAAGAAUACAACACAGUGAAGGAAGACAUGCAUAAGAGAAGGCCAGUGGGCAACACACACACUGUACCAUUGCUAGGUGGCAGGGGAGGUGGGGGCAGCUGAGGGACCUUCUCACAGUCUCUACAGUUUCCUGUCUGGUCUUCUUUGUCGGUGCAGGUAAAACCAGCCUCACAGCGACAUCUAGCGUUCGAUACAGGAGUACACGGCUCAUCCUCCACCAGGUGCAAAUCUGACACACACACACACACACACACACACACACACACACAAACACACACACACAAACACACACACACACACCACAGCCAGAACAAAAGGUUUAGUACAGCUAUUACAUGGUAAUAAAUAGUGUCGAUACUGUAGACAUACCUUUAUAACUUUUGGUAAGAAAUGACAUGUAUGGCAUAUGGAAAUCAUAAGUGGGCAGUUUAUAGAGAUAGGUGGGAUGGACAGAGAGUAGCUGAGGGGUGGGUUUAUGGAGAUAGGUGGGAUGGACAGAGAGUAGCUGAGGGGUGGGUUUAUGGAGAUAGGUGGGAUUGACAGNNNNNNNNNNUUCAGGUCUGUCGUUAGAGUCCUGGGCUUGCUUGAUGUAUCUAUAAUGGUAUACAGUCAGACUCUACACUUCCCUACGGUAGUAGGUGCCAGGUGCACCGGUUUGAGUGUGCCAAGAACUACAACGCUGCUGGGUUUUUCACACUCAACAGUUUCCCGUGUGUAUCAAGAAUGGUCCACCACCCAAAGGACAUCCAGCAAACUUGACAACUGUGGAAAGCAUUGGAGUCAACAUGGGCCAGCAUCCCUGUGGAACGCUUUCAACACCUUGUAGAGUCCAUGCCCUGACGAAUUGAGGCUGUUC